rnacentral:lncRNA from 1 species
CAGUUUAAAGCUCAUAGGAAUACGCUUGCUUCUUUUAGUGAGUAUUUUGGUGUUAUCUACAAAAGCACUUCUGAGAAUAAUGUCUUUUUGAUCAGAAUCAGGCUGAUGAAUUUCAGAAACAGUUGGAGUUUACAUACAUAGAGACAUUAAAUCUUGACAGAGAUAUUUAGCAUUACUGGAAACACUGAAUUGAACCAACAGACUUGUCUUCUUACUCUAUUUUAAGAUCGUAAUAAUUGGGAGAAAUCAAAAGUAUCUACAAAUUUAGUUCAGGCAAAUCGUGAACAAGAGGUUUUGGCAAAGAAGUCACCUCAAACUAAAAAGAAAAAGAAGUCUUUCAACUCCCAGAAGACAGAAUAGAAUAAAACAGUGUAAUAUCUCAGUGACAUUUUAGAGAAUGCAUCUAUUGAAUCAUUCCUAGAUGCAAAUAAAUUGUCCACACCCAGAGUAGAACAAGUUGCACAAAGAAAUAAUUCAGAACUUGAGCUGACAUAAGCUGUGGAAAAUUCUUUUCUAGCACAAGAUGUGCAAACUGUUACAGUGAAACAGAAAUGUGGAAAAUCACAGCCAAGCUGUGCUCUGAAAGAACACUCAUGUCUAAUAUAGCCAGUGUACAAGA